rnacentral:rRNA from 1 species
GCUAAGAAUCUUGCGCAAUGGGCGAAAGCCUGACGCAGCAAUUCCGCGUGGAGGACGAAGGCCCUCGGGUCGUAAACUCCUUUUGCGAGGGAAGAAGUUCUGACGGUACCUCGCGAAUAAGCCACGGCUAACUACGUGCCAGCAGCCGCGGUAAUACGUAGGUGGCGAGCGUUGUCCGGAUUUAUUGGGCGUAAAGAGCCCGCAGGCGGCUUGGCAAGUUUCGAGUGAAAUCUCCCGGCUCAACUGGGAGGGCGCUCGGAAAACUGCCAGGCUUGAGGCAGGGAGAGGGAUGUGGAAUUCCCGGUGUAGUGGUGAAAUGCGUAGAUAUCGGGAGGAACACCAGUGGCGAAGGCGGCAUCCUGGCCCUGUCCUGACGCUCAGGGGCGAAAGCGUGGGGAGCAAACCGGAUUAGAAACCCCAGUAGUCC